GAUGAACGCUAGCGGCAGGCCUAAUACAUGCAAGUCGAGCGGGUAGCAAUACCAGCGGCAAACGGGUGCGUAACGCGUAAGCAACCUGCCCACAACUGGGGGAUAGCCCGGCGAAAGCUGGGGUAAACCCGCAUGGUCCCAAGGAGUCACCUGGUUUUUUGGGUAAACAUUUAUGGGUUGUGGAGGGGCUUGCGUCUGAUUAGUUAGUUGGCAGGGUAACGGCCUACCAAGGCGAUGAUCAGUAGGGGUUCUGAGAGGAUUGGCCCCCACAUGGGUACUGAGAUACGGACCCAACUCCUACGGGAGGCAGCAGUAGGGAAUAUUGGGCAAUGGACGCAAGUCUGACCCAGCCAUGCCGCGUGCAGGAUGAAGGCGCUCAGCGUUGUAAACUGCUUUUAUCUGGGAAGAACGGUAGUCCUGCGGGAUUAUGUGACGGUACCAGAGGAAUAAGCACCGGCUAACUCCGUGCCAGCAGCCGCGGUAAAAC
rnacentral:rRNA from 1 species